rnacentral:lncRNA from 1 species
GUCUUAGUGAGUUCCCCAGCACCCUGUUUAAAGCCUGAAGGUCUGGAGGAUUUAUGUGGGGACUUCUGUUCGAUUUGGCCACAAUCACUUUGAUUGAUUUGAGGAGCAGGCCUGAACUCUGUCAAAAGUUAAAUUUUCUGUGCUAGUGGCUGGAAAGAAAAGCCUGGAUAUAAACUAAGAAAUGUUUCUUUUUAGUAAGGAGCAAUUCAGAGCAAGGAAGGAGUGCAGAUGCAAAAGGUUUCCCUUCAGUGCCUGGUGUUUUGGGGUCUGAACUGACUCUCAGUGUGCCCUGAGUUACAUUUUCAGCAGAAGGGUGAUGCCUUAGGAUUUUAGCUUGUAUAUUUUUCAUUUAUUUGUAAUCCUGCAGUUCUUUAGUGUCUGAAGUCCACACACACCGUGAGCUGCUGCUUUCCCAUUUUGGUCAGACACAAUUCCUCUCCAGGCCUGGCAAUCAAGGACACCUCACUGCCUCAGGCCCUGAGAGAUGGAAACAAAAGUGAAUUGGGGGGAACAAACUUGGGAUUAAUGACUUCAUUAUCCUAAAGUGUAAUUGGAACAUUAACCCCCAAUAUGCAAAUGGACCAAAUUUAUAAAAGUGUGAAAACUCAUGACCUGUUGUCCAUUGUUUUGGGUGUAGCCCCUGGGGGUGCUUUGCCCAAAAUGCACCUGAAAGCCCUUCAAUAAAUAUACCCAGCUUUUUAUUCCAUUAAUUUUAUCUGGCCUCUGCUUUUAGGUAAGCCCAAAGGGGAGCAGGACAAAGGUGUGGCCACACACAUCAACCCUGCAGGAAACCAAGGGGCUGGAGCCAGGGGUUUGAGGGGAGGCCCAGGAUUUGGACAGCCAUGGGCAGGGUUCUCCAGCAGGUUCUCUGGUGGCAUGAGCAAAGCUGAUCCCUGGCACAUGCACUGCUCCAUCCCAGUGUCCCUGUGUCCUGCUGAUGCCAGGAGGAGCUGUGACAGCCCCUCAGCUGCCUGGGUAGGGCAGCACUGUGACACAGGGGUGUUCCAAAACAGCCUGGAGACACCAAGGCUCAGCUGGGGCACCAACGUUUGCAUUCUGACUCUUGGACUGGGGCGGGACUGUGAUUACAGAAAAAACUUUUCUGCAGUCAGGGAGCAAAACACGAGCCUUAAACCUCACACGAGAGCGAGUGAGGCUCCCCAGCAGUCACAGAGGGAUCAAACAGCGUUUAAAGGAAAGGAAACCACCCAAGAAAUCAGCCCUGAUGGUUGA